GAUGAACGCUGGCGGCGUGCCUAAUACAUGCAAGUCGAACGGUGAGUGUAGCAAUAUGCUCAUAGUGGCGAACGGGUGAGUAACGCGUUGGUGACCUGCCCCGAAGUGGGGGAUAACAGUUCGAAAGGACUGCUAAUACCGCAUAGAGUCUUCAGGAUUAGAAGCCUGAUCUCUAAAGGAGAAAUUCGCUUCGGGAGGGACCUGCGUCCCAUCAGCUAGUUGGUGAGGUAACGGCCCACCAAGGCUAUGACGGGUAGGGGACCUGAGAGGGUGGCCCCCCACAAUGGAACUGAACAACGGUCCAUACACCUACGGGUGGGCUG
rnacentral:rRNA from 1 species